rfam:Schistosoma rodhaini strain Burundi genome assembly, scaffold: SROB_scaffold0000268
GUCCAGCUGACGAGUCCCAAAUAGGACGAAAUACGCGUCUUCCACUGCAC